rnacentral:rRNA from 1 species
UACAGAGGGUGCGAGCGUUAAUCGGAGUUACUGGGCGUAAAGGGCGCGUAGGCGGUACGAUGUGUGUGAUGUGAAAGCCCCGGGCUUAACCUGGGAAGUGCAUCGCAAACUAUCGAACUGGAGUAUAUGAGAGGGUGGCGGAAUUUCCGGUGUAGCGGUGAAAUGCGUAGAGAUCGGAAGGAACGUCAAUGGCGAAGGCAGCCACCUGGCAUAAUACUGACGCUGAGGCGCGAAAGCGUGGGGAGCGAACAGG